rnacentral:rRNA from 1 species
AAUGAACGUUGGCGGCAUGGAUUAGGCAUGCAAGUCGAGCGAGAAGUGUAGCAAUACACGGAAAGCGGCGGAAGGGAGAGUAAUACGUGGGAAUCUGCCCUUAGACCUGGGAUAGCAGCGGGAAACUGCUGGUAAUACCAGCUAAUGUCUAUGGACCAAAGGUGUGAUUCCGUCUAGGGAUGAGCCCACGUCCUAUUAGCUAGUUGGUAGGGUAAUGGCCUACCACGGCGAUGAUGGGUAGCGGGUGUGAGAGCAUGACCCGCCUCACUGGGACUGAGACACUGCCCAGACACCUACGGGUGGCUGCAGUCGAGAAUCUUCGGCAAUGGGCGCAAGCCUGACCGAGCGAUGCCGCGUGCGGGAUGAGGGCCCUUGGGUUGUAAACCGCUGUCGAGGGGGAUGAAGGCCUUCCGGUACUCCGGAAGGUUUGACAGAGCCCUGGAGGAAGCACGGGCUAAGUUCGUGCCAGCAGCCGCCGUAAUAC